rnacentral:rRNA from 1 species
CGAGUUUGAUCCUGGCUCAGAACGAACGCUGGCGGCAGGCCUAAUACAUGCAAGUCGAACGAUCCUUCGGGAUAGUGGCGCACGGGUGAGUAACACGUGGGAACAUACCCUUGGGUGCGGAACAACGUCGGGAAACUGACGCUAAUACCGCAUAAUGACUCCGGUCCAAAGAUUUAUCGCCCAAGGAUUGGCCCGCGCUAGAUUAGGUUGUUGGUGAGGUAACGGCUCACCAAGCCUACGAUCUAUAGCUGGUCUGAGAGGAUGAUCAGCCACACUGGGACUGAGACACGGCCCAGACUCCUACGGGAGGCAGCAGUAAGGAAUAUUGGACAAUGGGGGCGAACCCUGAUCCAGCCAUGCCGCGUGAGUGAAGAAGGCCUUAGGGUUGUAAAGCUCUUUCAGGUGCGAAGAUAAUGACUGUAACACCAGAAGAAGCCCCGGCUAAAUUCGUG